AGGGGGUUAGUCUAACCAAGAUAACUGAUUUCGACUCAGUAGAUUAUAAUUUCCUUUAUAGCCCCUUC
rnacentral:tRNA from 1 species